GUUUUGUGGUAAAAGUAUUUCUCUGAGAAUAUCGGCGAUUUUCCUGCCAAAAGUUUCUCAUAGAUUUUAUCUGUGAAAUACUAGCAUCGACUGGAAUAUAAUAUUUCAAGACAGACAGCAUAUCCAUAUAAAAAAAUGUUUCCUGGAUUUUCGUGGAUGGUUAUGGGAGUGAUGGAGUUACAGAAAUGGUGGGGAAAGAAAAAUUUUAAAAGACAUGUAAAAUGUCACAUCAUAAACCCGCAUGAUUUGGGAACUGAUGUAGACACAGGACUGAAUGAAGGAGAUUUUGAUAGAUAUGUUUCAAGUGAAAUUGACAAUUUGAUUGCUUCUUUCUAAUCUUCAA